GGAGAGGUGGCAGAGCUGGCUUAAUGCGGCGGUCUCGAAAACCGUUGUGCACCGCAAGGUGCACCGGGGGUUCGAAUCCCCCCCUCUCCG
rnacentral:tRNA from 1 species